GGUCGCGUGGCCCAAUGGCAAGGCGCUUGACUACGAUUCCAUCUCCUCGAAAUCAAGAGAUUCUGGGUUCGAUCCCCAGCGUGACCU